UCAGCAUCUUCAGCUGCCAAAUUCAGCUCACAGCAUUCACACUAGCAUUAUCGCAGGGAUGAACAAAGCUGUGGCAGUAAUGGACGCCCUUUGUGUUCAUUUGAUACUGGAAACCAUUCAUCCCUGUCUUCCCCCUCCACCUGCUCCUGAAAGUAAAACCUCCCCAGUGAGUUCACCUCUCUUUGCUCACCUUUCUAUUUUCUACAAAACUUUAUUGAGACUUUUUGUUCAUGACUUUGAUUAACUUUUUCUCCAAACAUUGGGCUGGUUUCUGCCUUCUCCUCACUGCUGGGAAGUCGUCAUUCACGUCUGAAAGCCUGCAGAUCUGAAAGGGUUCCUCUUUAGCUGUGCACAUCUUUGCCGCACUGUGCUAAUUUUCCUGCUCAAGAGGCUCUGGCACCCUCCCAUCUUCUCUUGAUUGCUUCUUCAUAAUCACCCAAAUGAGCUCUCACUGGUUCCCUUUCAGAGGGGAGAGCAGCACACACCUGCCUGCAAGUUCAUCUUUUGACCUUUAAAGCUGUUUUCUUUAAGGACAAAGCGGUUCAAGUCUGAUGCAUUUUGUUGCUUGUUCAUUUUUUUUGGAAUGCUGCAUCUUUGUGGUUCAGAUUUUAGCCCAGCAUCCCUGAGAUUAGGUGGUCAGUGUUGCUGUGGCCUCCUGUGACAGAAGAAGCGAGCUCAUCAGAAGCUGCAGUCGCCGCAUAAAUAGAAGAGGAGCGCUGAACACCUCCGGGCAACGGAGGAGACGCAGCUGCAGGAAGCCGUGCCUGCAAACAUCAUGUAAACCACAGCGUUACUUCCUGGAAAUGAUGCCUUCGUUUUAUGUCGUGUUUUUGUUCUCUAAAGCAGAAACAUCACCCUCUCUGGCUGGAAAACAUCUACAUAGAUGGAGAUCAUCGAGAUGCACAGUCGAGGUCCAAAUGGUUUCCUGAUUCUGUCCAUUUCACCUACAUUUAAUUGAUAUUCUCUGAAAAUCUUCAGCCUUGAUUAUGUUUUUACCACCAAUUAAUCAACUUUUUUUAUAACAUUUUUUUUGCUAUUUUAGUUUGUUUGCAUCCUUAAAACUUAAAAGCAGCAUAAAUAUUUAUUAUUUUUCCCUCCUGAUUUCACAUUCUUUGCUUGAUCUUUAUGUGUAAAGAAUGAAAAAGUAACAGCUGAUUUAUGCUUAUAUUUAAUGUAAAUAGUUCAAGUGAAGAGUUUAGUGGUUAAAUGGAACACAUACAUGCAAACACAGUAAAUAUGCUGAUAAAAAUUGUUUUUUAAGUAGUUUUAUUACUAUUUUUCUUUUAUUAUUUUCAUUUCUAAAACUACAGAUUUUACCAAGGACCUUUUGUCUGAGAAAUGAAAGGGAACAGAAAUACGAAGACCUACUUUUCUGACUCUUUUGUAUACCUAGAAGAAAGAAAAAGAAAGUUUAUAUUUCUUUUCUAUUUUUUUAUUAAUUGUUUUAGAUUAUUCCUUAUCCUCAGUCUUGUUUUCUGAGUCGGAUGGUCAUUAUUCCCAUCAUUUCAACGCCACAUGAACGCAGCAUUUCCCUAAAUUUAUAUUUCAACUUAUUGGUAUGAAACAAGACCACAUUUUUUAAAUAAAAACUCCAAAAUGUUCUGUUUUAAAAUACAUUUCAAUCCACAUUAAAGCAUGUUUUGGUCCAGAUUCCACAUUAUAUCUUCAUCUAAUGAGGUGAAUCACCAAAACACUCCACAUUUCUGCUCCUGGUCCGGCCUUCUGUCAGAGUUUAGGACCCUUUGUGGCCCACGAGUCAGACCGUCUGCUCAUCUCUGAUCUAUGGAGACGAUGGAGGCUGUGGAUCUGGGUUUUUGAGAUAAGCAAUGAGGGUUCCAUGAUAGGAGCAGACGUGCCGGCACGUUCAGAGGCUGUCAGCAAAGAUACGUUACAGUUAGUCGAACCCCAAUAUCGACACUAGUUUGAUCUAUUUGUAUCAGUAUUUGAGCUUCAUUUGGGGUCUGAAGGUGAAAGAAAUACUGAUCAGUAAUUUCUUCGAUCAAAUGUAGACUGGACAAAAACACCAAGAAGAAAAAAGAGAGUAUUCAGACUGAAAAUGUGUUCAAUUCACUUUAAGUGGAUCAAAUGUGUCCAAUCUGAAUAAAAGUGCAAACUAACUCUAUUUACUUUUGGUAUCAACUUUUUCUGAAAAAAAAAACAACCAGUUUGUCCACAAAAAACACACAAAAAGAGAUGCAAAUGGUCCAAACUAACAGGAACACCUUAAAUUUGAAUUGUUUUUAAACAAAUUAGUUUCCAGUUGAAGUUCAGAAUAAUUAGCCGCUUCCCCAAAAGCCUUCCCUCAUCACACUCGUCGCAAGCGUUCGUUUCUACAGCAGCAGAGGCCAAUCCGGGCCGACCAGGGGCCGUCCUGAUCCCCAGAAACAAAAACGAUUAGCAGCACUCACGGGUGAGCCAGAGCAGCAGCUAAGCAGAUUUACUUUUCAAUUACUUGCAGCAAAUAAAAGCAUGAACACCACCACCCUCCAGCAGCUCAAAGCUGGAAACAAAUGGAGAGAAACCCAAGCCGAAGAGAGAGUUGUAAAUGCUUUAAUCAUGACUCAGCACAAUACACUUGAAGGCCUCCGCACCAUCAGUCCUCCUUUAUUUACAGGGUUUACACGGGACAGCGUGACGUCUGGAGGGCGGGGCUGGGAACGACAGGCAGGAGGAGCUUACAGGUCACAGGUCACAGGACAGAUCUACACACUCACAGCAUCAGUAUCAAAAGAACUGGGUCACCUCCCUGUGGAAAUGGAGCAAGGUCGCCACCUUCUGGAUGGAUCCCCGCGCCCAAGACUAAAAGAGAGGACACACAACUGGCUAAUAUUUGAACACACACUAUCUAAAGGAGUCAGCAGCUAGCUAUGCGUCUAUCUAAAGCGGUACAAAAAAAGAGCUUCCGAUGGCUUUGAGAG